rnacentral:misc_RNA from 1 species
GAUGAAGAACGUAGCGAAAUGCGAUAAGUAGUGUGAAUUGCAGAAUUCAGUGAAUCAUCGAAUCUUUGAACGCACAUUGCGCCCCCUGGUAUUCCGGAGGGCAUGCCUGUUCGAGCGUCAUUAAAACUACUCAAGCUAAGGUUUUACCUUCUGCUUGGUCUUGGGUUUGAGGAUUCAAAAUCCUCUCUCCGAAAUCCAGUGGCGAAUUGUUUGAGCUGUAGACGUAGUAAAUCAUUCUACCCGUUGCAAGCGAGAAUAAUAUUCAGCCAUAACCCCCAUACUUUUCUAGUUUGACCUCGGAUCAGGUAGGGAUACCCGCUGAACUUAAGCAUAUCAAUAAGCGGAGGA